rnacentral:rRNA from 1 species
AUUGAACGCUGGCGGCAGGCCUAACACAUGCAGGUCGAACGGUAACAGGAAGAAGCUUGCUUCUUUGCUGACGAGUGGCGGACGGGUGAGUAAUGUCUGGGAAACUGCCUGAUGGAGGGGGAUAACUACUGGAAACGGUAGCUAAUACCGCAUAACGUCGCAAGACCAAAGAGGGGGACCUUCGGGCCUCUUGCCAUCGGAUGUGCCCAGAUGGGAUUAGCUAGUAGGUGGGGUAACGGCUCACCUAGGCGACGAUCCCUAGCUGGUCUGAGAGGAUGACCAGCCACACUGGAGCUGAGACACGGUCCAGACUCCUACGGGAGGCAGCAGUGGGGAAUAUUGCACAAUGGGCGCAAGCCUGAUGCAGCCAUGCCGCGUGUAUGAAGAAGGCCUUCGGGUUGUAAAGUACUUUCAGCGGGGAGGAAGGGAGUAAAGUUAAUACCUUUGCUCAUUGACGUUACCCGCAGAAGAAGCACCGGCUAACUCCGUG